rnacentral:rRNA from 1 species
UACAGAGGGGGCAAGCGUUGUUCGGAAUUACUGGGCGUAAAGGGCGCGUAGGCGGCCUGUUAAGUCGAACGUGAAAUCCCCAGGCUCAACCUGGGAACUGCGUCCGAAACUGGCAGGCUUGAAUCCGGGAGAGGGAUGUGGAAUUCCAGGUGUAGCGGUGAAAUGCGUAGAUAUCUGGAGGAACAUCGGUGGCGAAGGCGACAUCCUGGACCGGUAUUGACGCUGAGGCGCGAAAGCCAGGGGAGCAAACGGG